CUUUUCUUGGACCUAAGCUGUUGCGUGAGUUGCUGUGUGGCCAGACAGCCCUGUCAUUGCUGGGGAACUCCAAAGGCAGAGAAUGAAGAAGUGAUGGUACCCUGCAGCAGCAGCUGGAGAUGUAAACAAGGGAGAACAAUACAGGAAAAGCAGAUGUGU